rnacentral:rRNA from 1 species
GACGGAGAGUGCAAACGUUGUUCGGAUUUACUGGGCGUAGAGGGCACGUAGGCGGCCAGGCAAAUCAGUUGUGGAAUCCCGACGCCUACCGUCGGAACGGCAAUUGAAAAUACCUGGCUCGAGGGCAUGAGGGGUCGCAGGAACUCCUGGUGGAGCGGUGAAAUGCGUAGAUAUCAGGAGGAACGCCGGCGGCGAAAGCGGCUCUCUGGCCUGUUACUGACGCUGAGGCGCGAAAGCUAGGGGAGCAAACGGG